rnacentral:rRNA from 1 species
UCAAGCUACUAAGGGCGCAUGGGGGAUGUCUUGGCGACAGAAGGCGAUGAAGGGCGUGGAAGACUGCGAUAAACUUGGUGGAGCUGUCAAACGAGCUUUGAUACCAGGGUUCCUGAAUGAUCACGUGCUGAAUACAUAAGCAUGUGAGGCUAACCCGGUGAACUGAAACAUCUAAGUAACCGGUGGAAAAGAAAGAAAAAUCGAUUCCCUCAGUAGCGGCGAGCGAACGGGGAUCUAGCCCAAACUGCGGAGGUUUUCCUCUGCGGGGUUGUAGGACUCUUCACAUGGGAGUUACAAAACAAUUUACUAGUAGAACGGUAUGGAACGGCCGGCCAUAGAGGGUGAUAGCCCCGUAUGCGAAAGUGAAUUGACUCCCGAGGAGCACCUGAGUAGGUCGGGUCACGUGGAACCCCGACUGAAUCUACGGGGACCAUCCCGUAAGGCUAAAUACUCUCUGUCGACCGAUAGUGAACUCAGUAGGGUGACUGAAAGAUGAGAAGAACCCCUGUUAGGGGAGGAAUGUGAACCUGAAACCAUGCGCUUACAAGCGGUCGGAGCACUAUGCCCCCUUGGGGGAAUGUGUGACGGCGUGCCUUUUGCAUAAUGAUCCGGCGAGUUACCGUUUGCGGCUUGGUUAAGGCCUUACGGGCUGGAGCCAUAGGGAAACCGAGUCUGAAUAGGGCGAAAUUGUCGUAGGUGGUAGACGCGAAACUGCGUGAUCUAUCCAUGGGCAGGUUGAAGCGCGGGUUAUACUGCGUGGAGGACCGAACUCACUUGGGUUGAAAACCGAGGGGAUGACCUGUGGAGAGGAGUGAAAGUCUAAUCAAACGCAGAGAUAGCUCGUUCUCUCCGAAAUAUCUUUAGGGAUAGCCUCGAGCCACUACGUACCGGGGGUAGAGAUACUGAAUUGGAUGGGGGGGCCUCCAAGCCUACCCCACCGAACCAAACUCCGAAUACCGGUGCGAUUAUCUCGGGAGUCAGUCCGCGGGGGAUAAGCUUCGCGGUCGAGAGGGAAACAACCCAGACCAUCUGCUAAGGUCCCGAAGGAAUACUUAGUCACUAAGGAAGUUGAAUUGCUAAGACAGCCAGGAUGUUGGCUUAGAAGCAGCCACCAUUUAAAAAGUGCGUAACAGCUUACUGGUCGAGCAGUUCUGCGCCAAUAAUGAACGGGAGUAAGUAUUACACCGAAGCAGUGGAUUGCGGUAAUCUUAGGAUUACUGCAGUGGUAGGAGAGCGCUGUACGUCAGAUACAAGCCGUACCGAAAGGAGCGGUGUCGGGGCGUACACGGAAUGAGUAACGAUAAAGCAGGUGAGAAUCCUGCUCGCCGAAAGCCUAAGGUUUCCUGGGGAAGGCAAUUCCGCCCAGGGUUAGCCGGUUCCUUAGUCGAGGCCGAAAGGCGUAGACGAUGGACAGCAGGUCAACAUUCCUGCGCUAACGUGUGGACCGAUGGGGGGACGGCGUCCGAAUGGUGAGCGGUACGAAUAGAAAUGUCCGUGGCUCCUAUUAAGGUGAGGGACAGGAAAAUCCACCCUCGUAAGCCAAGAUAGGGGACCGACUGCAAUUAUGUUCAGGAAGUCAUCUGAAGGACGUCCAAGAAAAGCCUCUAAGGAUUGAAGCACGUUAACCGUACUAAAACUGACACAGGUAGGCGAGACGAGUAGUCUAAGGCGCUCGGGAGAACGGUGGUUAAGGAACUCUGCAAAAUGACCCCGUAAGUUCGCGAUAAGGGGUGCCUCCGGCGGUUCACGCUGCUGGAGGCCACAGAAAAUCGGCUCCUGCGACUGUUUAUCAAAAACACAGGACUCUGCUAACUCGUAAGAGGAUGUAUAGGGUCUGACGCCUGCCCGGUGCUGGUAGGUUAAGGAAGGCGGUUAUCCCCCUCUGGUUCUUCGGAAACACGGGGAGAAGCUGGCGACCGAAGCCCCAGUAAACGGCGGCCGUAACUAUGACGGUCCUAAGGUAGCGAAGUUCCUUGUCGGGUAAGUUCCGACCUGCAUGAAAG